ACUGCGAUUAUCAUCCAAAUAGUGCUUAACUCAUUAACUUCAGCUGCUUGCUUACCCUUUUCGACAUAUAAAACACGCGGAUCGGGGACGAGGCAGGGGGGUGAAGCUUGUUUUUCCUUUUUUUGUGAACCACUAUCACUUUUUUCAUCAUUUUUGAACUCCAGCGGAGAUGGGUCUGUCUGCAAGAGAGGGGCGUAACUAUUGCUCCAGCGAGCGUUUUAUAGCGCUACAAUGUUCAUGAAAGCAUAACGAAAAGAGGCGUUUCCCAACGUCAUGGCGCAAAUUGUGGAGUUAAUUUGAUUGGGCGGUGAAUUAUAUCAUUCAAGUCACAUUUUCCAAUAACGUCUUGUUAUUUUAUUAUACACAAAUCAACCACCUAUGAUUUGACAAUCUAAUUUCCUCCAGCCAAUCACGGGCCCCCAAAUCCCGCGGGCCCUGGGGCUUCAGCCCCACCUAGCCCUUAUGUUAAUCCGGCCCUGAGUACAAGGAGUCAGACUGGCAUAUGAGGAGCAAAGGAACCCAGGCAGUAGCAUCGUUUCACAAUGUUUCCAUCACCAUCAUCAGUGGAUGCCUUUGCUGUCCGUAGCCUGAGAUUUCAGAUUUGCAGCAAAAAAAAAUUGAUUUUCUCAUUUAUUGGAAUGCUGUGCAGGUAUUUGUACCUUGCAGCCAUCCAUUACAAUGUCACCAAGCCUUAACAAAAGCAGGAGAGGGAAAGUACAAGGCUAUGUUCCCAAAACACACAAGUGACAUACCUUAUGUGGAGGAUGUGAUCAGGCUUGUGUUUGAUGAGGUAUUUGAAGAUAAGCUGAAGGAAGCCCUGAUUCCAAUGGACCUGGCAUCACAGUUUGAGAGACCUUCAAAGGAGGACGUGAUUGCAUGCCAUCUUCAGUGCAG